rnacentral:rRNA from 1 species
AUUGAACGCUGGCGGCAGGCUUAACACAUGCAAGUCGAGCGGAUGACGGGAGCUUGCUCCUUGAUUCAGCGGCGGACGGGUGAGUAAUGCCUAGGAAUCUGCCUGGUAGUGGGGGACAACGUUUCGAAAGGAACGCUAAUACCGCAUACGUCCUACGGGAGAAAGCAGGGGACCUUCGGGCCUUGCGCUAUCAGAUGAGCCUAGGUCGGAUUAGCUAGUAGGUGAGGUAAUGGCUCACCUAGGCGACGAUCCGUAACUGGUCUGAGAGGAUGAUCAGUCGCACUGGAACUGGGACACGGUCCAGACUCCUACGGGAGGCAGCAGUGGGGAAUAUUGGACAAUGGGCGAAAGCCUGAUCCAGCCAUGCCGCGUGUGUGAAGAAGGUCUUCGGAUUGUAAAGCACUUUAAGUUGGGAGGAAGGGCAGUAAGCUAAUACCUUGCUGUUUUGACGUUACCGACAGAAUAAGCACCGGCUAACUCUGUGCCAGCAGCCGCCGUAACAC